GUGCUGGGGCAGUGGCUGUAGUCGUCACAGCAAAGCACACGCACAUUGUAGUUGAAGCACAUGUUGAACCUGCCUGUCUGGUCCUCAUUCUUGCAGGUCAGCCCCGUCUCCAGGCUGCAGGUCAGCACCUGCCCAACCUGGUCGAUGCUUACCUCGGGGUAGUUCUCUGCCCGGCACUCUAUGCUCUUUGGUGCCCAGCACAUCUUGCCCCCAGCAGCCCUGAUGUUUUCAAAAGUUUCCAUGUCCCCGCCUGCAACCCCUGAGGUUGGGAAGUCCACGUCAA
rnacentral:antisense_RNA from 1 species